CGAAUUGAAGGGAAUUCGUAAAAGUCGUUCGCGAUGAUUGGGUUUAAGAAAUUUACUAUCUAUAUAAAUAUCGAACGAGUAAUCACUGAUCAACAUCACGUAAGAAGACACUUAUUAUCCCGGAGAGAUAAAAUUAAUUUUUUUCGUUUUUUUUGCCCUUAUUUUUGGGGGUGAAAAAUAUUAUUGAUUUUCAAACAGUGUCCUGUAUCAAUAUGAAUAAAAGAUGUAGUGCCAGUUAAAAUAAAUUUUGGUGUU